GCCGGGCGUGGUGGCUCAUGCCUGUAAUCCCAGCACUUUGGGAGGCUGAGGUGGGUGGAUCGCUUGAGUCCAGGAGUUUGAGACCAGCCUGGACGACAUGGUGAAAGCCCAUCUCUA
ensembl:misc_RNA Metazoa_SRP Metazoan signal recognition particle RNA